UGGGAAUAUUGCACAAUGGGCGAAAGCCUGAUGCAGCAACGCCGCGUGCGGGAUGACGGCCUUCGGGUUGUAAACCGCUUUCAGCAGGGACGAAGGUUUUCUGACGGUACCUGCAGAAGAAGCACCGGCUAACUACGUGCCAGCAGCCGCGGUGAUACGUAGGGUGCGAGCGUUGUCCGGAAUUAUUGGGCGUAAAGAGCUUGUAGGCGGUCCGUUGCGUCGGAAGUGAAAACUCAGGGCUUAACCCUGAGCCUGCUUUCGAUACGGGCGGACUUGAGGGAUGUAGGGGAGAACGGAAUUCCUGGUGGAGCGGUGGAAUGCGCAGAUAUCAGGAGGAACACCAGUGGCGAAGGCGGUUCUCUGGACAUUUCCUGACGCUGAGAAGCGAAAGCGUGGGGAGCAAACAGGCUUAGAUACCCUGGUAGUCCACGCCGUAAACGGUGGGCACUAGGUGUGGGACCCA
rnacentral:rRNA from 1 species